GGGCGCGUAGCUCAGCUUGGUAGAGCAUUCGCAUGGCAUGCGAGGGGCCUCGGGUUCAAAUCCCGACGCGUCCA
rnacentral:tRNA from 1 species